rnacentral:lncRNA from 1 species
GCUCUUGCCUGAAGUAAAUUCCACCAUGAAAACCGGGUCUCCUCCCGUCGAUGGCUUGCGGGAGCGAAUCACAGCCCCUCUGGAGAAAGCCGCCGCCGCCGCCGCCGCCUCGUUCUCCGCAGCUCUGGGCUCCGGGCGGAGCUCGGGCGUCGCGGGCCGAGGGCGGGGGGCGGCGGGAAGACGGACGUAGGUGGCCGAGGAAGGGGGUGGGCAGCUGAGCUUGCGAAACACCCCGAGCCCCUCCGGGAAGCACCUCCAGCGGUUCCAAGCAGACCAGACACAAAGGGGGGAGUCGCCGCAGCUGCCAGUCUGAGGCGCUCCCGGUCACCGGAGUCGCCCCGCCCCCGCCGCCGCCUCCUCUCAGUCUCCGGCUCUCCAGCCGACCCCUGUCUGUCUCGGGCCUGUGGUGCAGCGCGGGCGGCGGCGGCGGCGGCGGCGGCGGCGCCACUGAGCCGCACUGCGCCUGCGCGCCCGCGGCCCCGCCCGGCCCCGCCCCUCACUCCCAGGCUUGCUGGAGAGUGAGGCCCUCGCGCGGCGUCUCUCGCCUGGGCGCCCAGUGCAGGGAAGGGUUGUCGUGGGCUGCGGGUGGGCAGCCUAGGUCCCUUUCCUCACACAGGCGAACGCUCCGCACGUGGACGCCGUGCGAUCUGUUCAAGCGUGUAAGGGAGGGCGGCCACAAUCUUUUGUUUAACGUAGGUUAAAGGCUACCCGGGAAGGUGGGCGAGAAGCCUCGAAGGCACGCCGUCGUUGUUGGUGGCGGCGGGCGCAUCCUCCUCGGUUUCCCUGAGAAUCCCGACCGAGCCGCCUUUCCCAGGAGCCGAGACCCGGGCCUCGUCGGGUCCCCCUCCCGUCGCGGCCCAAACAAAAGCCUCCUGCCUCAGUCAUGAAGACCGCGAAGCUGACGUGUGUGCGCUAGUCUGGGUCGGGCUUUCCUCGAACAGCCAUCCCCGGGGCCCUCUUGGAUGACAAGGCUGCUGAGCAAUUGCGAGCACGCGAGACCGGAGAGAAAACUUAAGAUCGCACACGCCGGCCUGCUGUGCGUGCGCGUCUCCUGCUCCGCCCGCACCUCUCCUGGGGAGGGUUUUAUUCACAAAGGCCCGAGGGUCUUUGCAGGGCCUGUUAAAGGAGAACUGCGACGCAGUGUAGUUGCUUCUAGGUAUGGAGUGUGGUCCUAGCUCCUCACUCAUCGAAUAGAGACAGUCCCGCCAGCACUGCAGUUUCCUAACCACUUUAAACCUCUUUAAAAAAAAAAUCUCAAUUUGGCUUGAUUCAGGCAACCAGGAUAGGGAAGGGAUCCCCUACAGGGUCAGCCGACUUGGGUGGGAUUUUUGCUAGGGGAGAGGGGAGAAGAUGACGUGCUUGGCGCCAUGAUCGGAAGUCUGGGUUUAAUUCUUUAACUGCGAGGUGGAAAAUUUGCGUGGGAGGGCGAUCUUAAGAGGUGAAGUCUAGCCCUCCCUUCUUCUAGUAGGCAGAAAGGUUGUUCUGAAGGCUGGUUUUGCCGGUCUUUCAUUGUGGCUAAGGGCAGUUCCAGGAUACCUUCAUAAACACACUCCUCAAGCCUUACUGUUCGCUUGCUUAUUCAAGCCUCCUUUUAUCUCUGUAUCUGAACGUGAUGUUAAUAAAUCACAUUCCUU